UAAUACAGAGGGUGCGAGCGUUAAUCGGAAUAACUGGGCGUAAAGGGCGCGUAGGCGGUUGAAUAAGUGGUAGGUGAAAUCCCCGGGCUUAACCUGGGAAGUGCCUAUCAGACUGUUUGACUGGAGUGCAGGAGAGGGCGGUAGAAUUUCCGGUGUAGCGGUGAAAUGCGUAGAGAUCGGAAGGAAUGCCGGUGGCGAAGGCGACUGCCUGGCCUGACACUGACGCUGAGGCGCGAGAGCGUGGGGAGCGAACAGGAUUAGAUACCCUGGUAGUCCACGCUGUAAACGAUGAAGACUAGAUGUAGGUGGGGGAACCCAUCUGUAUCGAAGCUAACGCGAUAAGUCUUCCGCCUGGGAAGUACGGCCGCAAGGUUG
rnacentral:rRNA from 1 species